AUUGAACGCUAGCGGGAUGCUUUACACAUGCAAGUCGAGCGAGCGGCGGACGGGUGAGUAAUGUAUGGGGACUUCCCGAUAGAGGGGGAUAACUACUGGAAACGGUAGCUAAUACCGCAUACUAUCGGAUAACCCAUAUGGGAUUAGCUAGUAGGUGAGGUAAUGGCUCACCUAGGCGACGAUCCCUAGCUGGUCUGAGAGGAUGAUCAGCAAAACGGGGAAUGAGACACGGCCCAGAAUCCUGCGGAGUCAGAAGUGGGGAAUAUUGCACAAUGGGCGCAAGCCUGAUGCAGCCAUGACGCGUGUAUGAAGAAGGCCCUAGGGUUGUAAAGUACUUUCAGUCGGGAGGCGUUACCGAAAGAAGAAGCACCGGCUAACUCCGUGCCAGCAGCCGCGGUAAUAC
rnacentral:rRNA from 1 species